UUUUGGCAAGUUUAGAGUAGCGUCAUUGAUUUUACACAGUGCACAAUAGGAGUUUAUUUUAAAAUUGAGGUGCUUACUUAUUACAUAUCCUAGCUUGCUGUUUAGUGUGAUUUUUUUAAAAUUUAAAAAUUUCGAUUUUUUAAAAAUAACAUCUUUGGAUACAAUAUUUUUUUGUAGAUGUAGAUAUAUUUAAUAUGCUUUGAUUUGUUUGUCAUAGCUGACAAAAUUGCUAGCUAUUGAUCUCUGUUGAAGUUUGUUUCUUGAUUAAUAAUUUAUAUGCAUGUACAACAAAUAGCUAAAAACUUUUAAU
rnacentral:lncRNA from 1 species